UCCGUAGGUGAACCUGCGGAAGGAUCAUUAACGAAUAACUCUGGAUUGUUGCUGGCCUCUUGGUAGGUAUUGUGCACAUCCUUUUAUUCUUCAACCACUGUGCACCUUUUGUGAGCCUUUGUAAACACGGAUUUUUGAGACUUGCGCCUAACCCGCGCUUGACUCGCUAAAGUCGUUUUGCACCGGUUCACGUUUAUUACACAUACAAUGUAAAUUUUAGAACGCAUAAAUAGAGUUGGGACUUGCGCCCUUCUUUUAAAAAUAUAAAUACAACUUUCAACAACGGAUCUCUCGGCUCUCGCAUCGAUGAAGAACGCAGCGAAAUGCGAUAAGUAAUGUGAAUUGCAGAUUUCAGUGAAUCAUCGAAUCUUUGAACGCACCUUGCACCUUAUGGUAUUCCGUAAGGUAUGCCCGUUUGAGUGUCAUUGAAUCAUCAAACCUACUACAUUUUGUAGUCAGGGCUUGGUUAUGAGGGUUUUGUGCGGGCUCUAACGAGUCGGCUCCCUUUAAAAACAUUAGCGAGACUUCCCUUUGGUUGACCCUCUCUGGCGUGAUAAUUAUCUGCGUCAAAGUGCGGUUCUCGUUGGGCUUGCUUCUAACCGUCUCUUGACCGAGACAAUUAGGAUUUGGACGCAUAUAUGCGCACAUUUCUGAACUCUUUUGACCUCAAAUCGGGUAGGACUACCCGCUGAACUUAAGCAUAUCAAUAAGCGGAGGA
rnacentral:rRNA from 1 species